UUGUAGACAUGAGGAUGGUUAUGAUC
rnacentral:piRNA from 1 species